rnacentral:tRNA from 1 species
AAGAUUUGUAAAACCAUAAAUACAUCUUCUGAAUGCAACCCAGACGCUUUAAUUAAACUAAAAUCUC